UCCCCGGGGGGGGGGCUUACACAUGCAAGUCGAACGAUGAACCGCUUUCGGGCGGGGAUUAGUGGCGAACGGGUGAGUAACACGUGGGCAAUCUGCCCUGCACUCUGGGACAAGCCCUGGAAACGGGGUCUAAUACCGGAUAUGACUGUCCAUCGCAUGGUGGAUGGUGUAAAGCUCCGGCGGUGCAGGAUGAGCCCGCGGCCUAUCAGCUUGUUGGUGAGGUAGUGGCUCACCAAGGCGACGACGGGUAGCCGGCCUGAGAGGGCGACCGGCCACACUGGGACUGAGACACGGCCCAGACUCCUACGGGAGGCAGCAGUGGGGAAUAUUGCACAAUGGGCGAAAGCCUGAUGCAGCGACGCCGCGUGAGGGAUGACGGCCUUCGGGUUGUAAACCUCUUUCAGCAGGGAAGAAGCGAAAGUGACGGUACCUGCAGAAGAAGCGCCGGCUAACUACGUGCCAGCAGCCGCGGUAAUACGUAGGGCGCAAGCGUUGUCCGGAAUUAUUGGGCGUAAAGAGCUCGUAGGCGGCUUGUCACGUCGGUUGUGAAAGCCCGGGGCUUAACCCCGGGUCUGCAGUCGAUACGGGCAGGCUAGAGUUCGGUAGGGGAGAUCGGAAUUCCUGGUGUAGCGGUGAAAUGCGCAGAUAUCAGGAGGAACACCGGUGGCGAAGGCGGAUCUCUGGGCCGAUACUGACGCUG
rnacentral:rRNA from 1 species